rnacentral:ncRNA from 1 species
CCCAGGACUGCGGGAGAGACUGGCCGAAAACGCCAGCGCCGAAGGAGCAACCGCCCCGGAAACUCUCAGGCAAAAGGACCGCAGUCAGGUC